rnacentral:rRNA from 1 species
AUUGAACGCUGGCGGAAUGCUUUACACAUGCAAGUCGAACGGCAGCACGGACUUCGGUCUGGUGGCGAGUGGCGAACGGGUGAGUAAUACAUCGGAACGUGCCCAAUCGUGGGGGAUAACGUAGCGAAAGCUACGCUAAUACCGCAUACGAUCUAAGGAUGAAAGCGGGGGAUCGCAAGACCUCGCGCGAUUGGAGCGGCCGAUGGCAGAUUAAGUAGUUGGUGGGGUAAAGGCCUACCAAGCCGACGAUCUGGAGCUGGUGUGAGAGGAUGAUCAGCCACAAUGGGACUGAGACAAGGCACAGACUCCUACGGGAGGCAGCAGUGGGGAAUUGUGGACUAUGCACGCAAGUCUGAUCCAGCCAUUCCGCGUGCAGGAUGAAGGCCCUCGGGUUGUAAACUGCUUUUGUACGGAACGAAAAGGUCUCUCUUAAUACGGGGGGCUCAUGACGGUACCGUAAGAAUAAGCACCGGCUAACUACGUGCCAGCCGCCGCCGUAA